GACGGAGGAUGCAAGUGUUAUCCGGAAUUACUGGGCGUAAAGCGCACGUAGGCGGCCAUGAUAGUCAGAUGUGAAAGGCCUGGGCUUAACCCGGGAACUGCAUUUGAUACUGCAUGGCUAGAGUCCAAGAGAGGGUAGUGGAAUUCCCAGUGUAGAGGUGAAAUUCGUAGAUAUUGGGAAGAACACCAGUGGCGAAGGCGGCUACCUGGCUUGGAACUGACGCUCAGGUGCGAAAGCGUGGGGAGCGAACAGG
rnacentral:rRNA from 1 species